UUCACAAAAAAACUGAGGGAGAAGCGCAAACCGCUUGAGUUACAAGCUAAAGAACAAAAGUCCUGGGGAAAUAACGUCAGCAUAGUCAUCUCCACACCCAGAAAGGUCCCUUCUGCUUUUCUCCCUUUGAAAUUUCAAAUUCCAGUUUGUGGACAAAGUCCUGUCUAUCUGAGAAUAUAGAUCUCCGACCACUGACCAAACUCCAUUCCAAGCAACUACCUAGUUAUGCUUUUUCCCUGCCUCGCAGUCUCUUCUGUUCACUCGCUGGAUCUGCUGGGAUCAUACUGAAACUCUCACCAGAACGGUUGCGCACAUACAAAGUGGAUUUCCACAUUUUUGUCUUAAUCUAACAGCUUCCUUUCGAAGUUGGGAAUGGGGAAGAAGAUGCUGAUCAUCUGUAAUAACCCAGGCUGACUGUAAAGUUAAAGACCUACUACCAGUACCUGGCGUCUCCUGGAGCAAGUUAUAGCUGCUGCCAUUCAUUUUCCAGAGGAUCCGUUGGGCCCCAGAAGAAGCUAGAGCAAUGUCACCCCCAGACAGGGAUUUCUACCCAGCAAGUACCACAAGGGCUGUGAACAAGGAGCCAUGUUCAGCGCAAGUAACCGGGAAGCCAGCCGGAAUAAGGGCUGCAGGGAUAAGCUAAUCUCUUAAUGCUGGUCACAAUGAGAUUUGAUUGGAAGCCGGAGUUCAUACAAUGGAGUUACAGCUUUUAAAGAGUUCUGACAAAUGCUUGAACAUGAAUUAUAAGGUGGCCUGAGCUCUGCACCCUGCGACCAUGCCCCUAGGGGUGCCCUGUGCCUUCUGGGCCACCUUUUCAAAGUGUCCUAACCCUGGCCUCUGAUCUGGCACCCCCAUAUCUGCACACACACAGCUGCAGCUUUUGGGGGUGACAACUGCGUGUGCAAAUGCAGAGGCUGCUUUUGAAAACGUGUCAUGCUGAGUUUAGCAAAACGACUCGGUGUGAGUCCGUCUCUGCAAGGUAAGGAGGAAGCAAAAGGCCUUUAUAUGAAAAUGUUUCUGUACAAACAUCCAUAAUAAAAUACCUUGGUACA